rfam:Schistosoma curassoni strain Dakar, Senegal genome assembly, scaffold: SCTD_contig0001673
AUCCAGCUGACAAGUCCAAAAUAGGACAAAACUCGCUUCAAACUGGAU